rnacentral:rRNA from 1 species
GACGAACGCUGGCGGCGUGCCUAAUACAUGCAAGUUGAGCGAUGAAGAUUGGUGCUUGCACCAAUUUGAAGAGCAGCGAACGGGUGAGUAACGCGUGGGGAAUCUGCCUUUGAGCGGGGGACAACAUUUGGAAACGAAUGCUAAUACCGCAUAACAACUUUAAACAUAAGUUUUAAGUUUGAAAGAUGCAAUUGCAUCACUCAAAGAUGAUCCCGCGUUGUAUUAGCUAGUUGGUGAGGUAAAGGCUCACCAAGGCGAUGAUACAUAGCCGACCUGAGAGGGUGAUCGGCCACAUUGGGACUGAGACACGGCCCAAACUCCUACGGGAGGCAGCAGUAGGGAAUCUUCGGCAAUGGCCGAAAGUCUGACCGAGCAACGCCGCGUGAGUGAAGAAGGUUUUCGGAUCGUAAAACUCUGUUGGUAGAGAAGAACGUUGGUGAGAGUGGAAAGCUCAUCAAGUGACGGUAACUACCCAGAAAGGGACGGCUAACUACGUG